AAAGUUGGCAAAAAAAAAGGCAUGUACACUACAUUUAAGUAGCAGACUUGGCCACCAAUCCAAAGUUAACAUCCACCAAACUAUCUCCACCAACCAAUACGGAGGAUCCAAGUGGUGGAGGUAACAAUAAUUGGAACAACAAUGGGUCAUCGCAAACUACAGAGGAUAGCUGGAAAAAAUCUACAACUGAAGGGACCAAUAUCCAGGGUGGUGGGUAGAACAAGGGAUCUAGUUCAAACACUACUUCUAAGGACUGGGGUCAAUCAAGUACUGCAGACAAGGGUCAAGCAUCUAGUUGGAAAGAAGCAGCAGAUGGAUGUUUCUGAGAGAAAGAUAAGAUUUGCAUAAAAUCUUUCGGUUAAAGAUCUGAUCUAGAGGAUUGAAGAUACUGUGACGGAAAUGGAAUUUAGAAUCCAAAAGAAAAAUGGCAAAGUUUGUACUAUAACUUAUGUUUUAUUCAAGUUGCUUCUGUUUCCUGCAAACUUGCAACUAAACUAAAUGUUAGUUUAGCUAAAAGUACAUAGAAUACCAAAAUUUCAGUUGAAAGUGAUGCGAGAGAACAAGGUGCACAAAACUCUCGGCUGCUUCUCAGUGGUAGUAGAGGUAAUGUAUGUUUAGAAUGAGCUAAUCGAUCGUAAACUACUCUUUACAUCUCAA